CGCCGUCAACAUCAGCGAGGAGAAGUCUGCGAUGCGCUCCCUGUCCUCCACCUCCUGCAAUCCCUCCUGCUCCUCGGGCCGUCGGCGGGUGGUUCACCGCGGCAUCAUAGCCGCGACGCGCAGAUGGCCUCACCGGUGGCGAUGUUGACAAGCGUCAGGUGCGUGGGGAGCAAGGACGACGACGACCACAGCAGCAAGAACACGAGUGCCCAGAAGGAAGCGGGAUGUCAAGAGGAGGCGCGCACGGUGGAGAGGAGAUGCAGGGCGUAG
rnacentral:lncRNA from 1 species